rnacentral:sRNA from 1 species
AUUCGAACCUGCUGCAGGUUCGUGUCGAACGUAGUGAGACAACGGAGCCGCUUGCGGCGACGGCCCGCAGGGCGAGCGAAGCGAGUCAUCCUGCACGACCCAC